rnacentral:antisense_RNA from 1 species
GAUAGCCAAAAAUGACAAAUGGAUUCAAGGUAGGAGCGGUAACGACUCUGACAUUGUGAAUGGUUGCAUCGUAAAUUCCUCCCCAGAACAUUGCUUUACCUACCAGCAGUAAAGCCGCAACUCCGAGGAAAAGUAGGUGAUGCCCCAAAAUUAAGCCCAAUUGCUUAUGAUCAUCCCA